ACACUUGCUAACCUGCUAGGCCUCUAGGGUGUAAUAAACAUUGAGACAAAAUAACGUCUCAGUUCUUUUGGUAUUGGAACCAUGGACUUGUUAUUCGUUUACUAAGAUAUUAAUGUUAAAUAGGAUAAUCGUAAAAUAGAUGAUGACUUUACCGAGCACUGGUGUAAGCAUACUAUUAAAAGAACGCCCACUAAAUGCUAGGAGAAUGUGAAAUGAAGGGGUCUGCAACUAAAGACUUUAAAAGAUGAAUGCCAAGUAGACUACUGUCAAGUUGAAGUGAUACCUCCCACAUCUAGCUCUAGCCUACUCUAUGUCUAGCUAACGAACAAACACAAGGACUUCAUAUAACAAGGAACGGGGAAUGAAAGGGGAGUACUUCGGCCCAGAAAUAAACAAACGUAACAACCGACCUUGACACAAUUAGCAAAGGCCAUCGUCUCUAGUUAUGUGCGGUAAUUUGUGUUGUGUCAGAUGUUGGUCGCUAUGGCCGACACUGGUUUGGCUCGGAUAGCCAUAUAGGGACCAACAGUCUGAGAAGUGACUCCCUCACGGAAGACUAAAGAGAUAAUGAAAAAAAGCAAACUUGCUAAUUUUACUGCAUGUUUUUUUUUAUUAGUAUUUUCACAUUAUUAUUAUUUUAAAAUAAAAACUGUGUUCUUGUGUA